UACGUAGGGACCAAGCGUUGUUCGGAUUUACUGGGCGUAAAGGGCGCGUAGGCGGCGUGACAAGUCACUUGUGAAAUCUCUGGGCUUAACCCAGAACGGCCAAGUGAAACUGUUGUGCUAGAGUGCAGAAGGGUCAAUCGGAAUUCUCGGUGUAGCGGUGAAAUGCGUAGAUAUCGAGAGGAACACCAGAGGUGAAGACGGGUUGCUGGGCUGACACUGACGCUGAGGCGCGAAAGCCAGGGGAGCAAACGGG
rnacentral:rRNA from 1 species